GGACUUGUUGUUUUGGGAGUGCAUAUGGAUUGAUGAUGUCACUGAGGUAGCUUGAAGGUGUUUGCUGACUCAGAGCAGCACAUCAGACAUGUGGGGCAUGAUGACACACAAACAACAGACUAUGCCUGUGGAACAACCAAUUCAAAGUGUUUGAUGACGUAGAACCAGAACACAUUCUGUCCUCCCGGCUCUUCACCUCUAUGCUGCGUGAGAGAGGUUCAAUAUUUCAGUUCCUUUAAUGGAUCUUCGUAAGACAUGAACUCAUUGACCUUGAGCAACCCUGUGAGAUAGGGAAAAUUUAUUACCCUCCUGUUAAAAUGAGGGAAAUGAGGCUCAGCAAGAUUAAAUGGCAAAAGAUCAUAGCGCUAUAGAUAGAAAGGACCUUAGAGAUUGUCUAACUGAAUCCCUUUUACAGAUGAGGAAACUGAGGGCUAGAGGAAUGUAGUGACCUGCCCAAGGUCACACAUGUAGCCUGCUCCUCUUGACAAGUGAUCAAGUUGACCCUCUAUUUUGGAGGCCAAGCAUGGUUGGGACUAUUUGGGAGCAUUCUGUUAUAACUGCAUCCUUAGGUUUAGCAGAAGCUGAGACAACUCUUAUCAUUAGGGCACGCUUAUUCAGGACCAAGACAGGGUGACAUAAUGUCCCUUUCAGUUCUAAAAUAUUUUAAGUAUAUGAUCUUAUUAAAAAAGAUAAGCAUAACUGUUAUUUGCAGCUUUCUCACAGACCACAGCUGAGAGGAGCUGUUAUUUGCGUUAGGGCUUUGGCAGGAAUCUGCUAAUUGUGGGUCAACUGCAGCUGAGUGGGUGAGUAAGUAGCAUCUUAUCAGCGAAAAAGAGGGGAAAGCCCCAGAAAACAACAACUACUGCCAGUAAUAUUAAAUAAGAUCCUUUCACAGACAGACACCAGCUCAGGAUGGUCAUUCUGCACACUGGUGCUUCAGUGGGAAUUUUAUCAUUCCUGAGCACAUACACAAGGAGAAUGAUCAAUGAAAAUAACAGGAAAGCCCCAGAAAAAGGUGGGGAAGCUUAAUAUAGAUAAAACCAAGCUCAGGAGCAACCAGUGCCAGAGCUCUUAGAGCAGUGAACUCACAUGGUAGAAUGGGCAAUGUGCCAAAGCAGUUUGCCAAGGAGAAUUAGUCAUAAAGAGCCUUGGUGAAAGAAUGAGAGACAGCAAAGCAUCUCAGUUCCAGUGAGGAUGGACGAUGUGGAGAUUUGUCCUGUGUCCUGGAGACCUUGCGCAAUUGCAUUUCUGUUAGUGUUAAGAAACAGAUAUGUACACAUUUGCUUAUUCUGCAUAUACCUGUAUUUGUAAUUGUUGUUUCUCUGGAAAGAAUGUAAAUUCCUUGGGCACAAAUCAUUUCAUUCUUUACUUUGCAGCCCCAGCACCUAGUACAUAAUAGGCACUUGAUAAAUGCUAGUUGAUUGAUUGUGCAUGAAGUGUAGCUCAACAGAAGGUUAGAACUGUACUUCUCAAACUCUUUUGGCUCAUGCUAUAGUUUUAUUCUGGACUGUGAGGAUUGGGGAGAAUGGGAAAACUCGGGCAUCCACCAAUAAUUGCAAGUGUAAGUUUUAUACAUUGGCCCACACUCUGAGAGCUAUUGGGCUGGAAAAUAGAAUAAUGUGACUCAGAAGAAGAAGGAGGAAAUCAAUGGGCAGCCUGGUAUAG